AAGUUGAACGGAUGACUUAGUGGCGGACGGGUGAGUAACACGUAAACAACCUGCCUUCAGGAUGGGGACAACAGACGGAAACGACUGCUAAUACCGAAUAAGUUCCAAGAGCCGCAUGGCCCAUGGAAGAAAAGGUGGCCUCUACCUGUAAGCUAUCGCCUGAAGAGGGGUUUGCGUCUGAUUAGCUAGUUGGUGAGGUAACGGCCCACCAAGGCGACGAUCAGUAGCCGGGCUGAGAGGCUCUUCGGCCACAUUGGGACUGAGAGACGGUCCAAACUCC
rnacentral:rRNA from 1 species